rnacentral:lncRNA from 13 species
CAGCUCCCUGUCUUGCUCUCUCUCUAUCUCCAGGCACAAAGAAUGCUGCCAGGCAAGUCUCUUUCCACUGAGAGCUGGAACUUGGCGUUGAUGGUGUGAGCUCUCUGCAAUCAGCUUAGAGUGAUCAGCUUAGUGCUGUGAUGGAAAACGGUGUUGACGCGUCGGCUGAAAUACCGCUGUGCUCAAAGUGAGUUGGGUUGUCCUUGAAGAGAUCUCAUCACAGAAGCUUAUUAUGUAACUUAUUUUUGAGGAAAAGGAAAUCUCUCUAGGCCCACCAGUGGGUGUUAUGAGGUUCCUGAAAGAGUCCCAGUUCUUGAGGCUUUGAAAGGAAUCCAUGCCCCUGGGAUGGAGAUACCUGAUUUCAGAGAGAGCAGGUGUGAACAGAAGCCAGAGACGCUUCAGAACCUGCUUGAGGAAGAUCAGCUGCACACAUCUCAUGCAUGCUUCGAGAACGAGCCUCGAGCCCAGUCCUGCAGGAGAGUGGACGGUGCGGCCACAGCUGCCCAGGGAGGGGAUUGGUCUGGAGGACCUGGGGGCAGGGACGCCCCUGGAAGGAAUUAUGCAGAGGGACAUAACACGCGAUGCAAUGGCUGGAAUGUUCUGGCUAACAUUUCCUGCUCAGCCACGGCAUGAGGAUGGAUAGAAUGGCCUAGAAAAACCAGCUGAGGAUGGACUCGCCUGAAUGGACCUCCCUUUGCCCUUGCCUGAACUCUGGGGAAGGACCCUCGGCGUCACUCAGGAGCAGCUGGUGCACAUCGUGGAGCAGGAGCUGCGUCGGCAGAACUGUGGGGAAACUUCGUGCCGCCUGUUUGUUCUUUUCUCAGUAAACCUGGAAUCAAUGAGCUUUGCAGGACCACCUUCUGUUGGUUUGGGGGGAAACAGGUAAAACACUGAGCCCAAAGAACUUCUUGAACCUGAGAGGCAAACGUUGCAGUGAGCCGAGAUCCUCACUGCACUCUAGCCUGGGUGACAGAGAGAGACUCCGUCUCAAAAAACAAACAAACAAAAAAUGAGCCCACAUCAGCUCACUAAGUGUGCGCUUUCCAUAAAAGUAACCCUUGGGAAUCCACAGGGGAAGUGGAAUCAGGGAUAGGGACAGGAACAUAUUUUAGCCAGCCAGGUCCUGGUUGACUUUGCUUUCUUAUCUCUCAGCAUUUGCUGAUUUUGUCAAAAGCCUCUCUUCCUGGCAUAGGAUUAGCCCGGUGGCAAUGACUGACCAGAGACAGCUGCCCUGGUCCCCCUGGGGACCCUGAGCAGAUCUGCCCAGCACCCUGUGGAGGUCGGGGCACCAGCCCCUACGGUAAGGCAGUUUUUCACUGCCCUCAACACUCGAUUAAUCAGAUCAGCUCAGUCCAUUAGGGCAUUUCUUAAAAUAUGUGAAUUGAUCCUACGUGCUGUGAGCAAACACGCAAACAUUCAGCUCCUUAUUUACUUAGCCUGAUUUCAAUAACGACGUGCUUCCUUUUGCUGACAUCUUCUGACAAGUCAGCUUUGUUGUUAGUUUUUUUUUUUUUUUUUGUCCAAGAAAUGUCUCUAGAGGUAAACAGAUCUGAAUUCGUUUCACAUUUUCAGCAUGGAUUCUUUUUAUUUCUCUCUUAAAAAACAAAGCAAAACAAUGAACUGUGCAUUGUAAAUAAGGGGAAAUGAAAUCCAAUUUUUCAUGAUGAUAAUGCUUAAACCUAUUUCCCUAGAUGAAACUCAGUGGUACACAAGCCCCGUAAUAAAUACAUUUCUCAUAUUUUAUGCA